ensembl:rRNA 5S_rRNA 5S ribosomal RNA
UCUUGGUGCUACAUGACCUUGGGGCAUGAUCUGAUCAGAUCUCAAAGUCAGUAGGGAUGGGCUUAGUCAGAACUUGACUAGGUGACUUCAAAGAAAUACCAGGUGCAAUAGGAA